rnacentral:rRNA from 1 species
UACAGGGGGUGCAAACGUUGCUCGGAAUUAUUGGGCGUAAAGCGCGCGUAGGCGGCCGCUUAAGUCGGAUGUGAAAGCCCCUGGCUCAACUGGGGAAGUGCACCCGAAACUGAGUGGCUUGAGUACUAAAGAGGGUCGCGGAAUUCCCGGUGUAGAGGUGAAAUUCGUAGAUAUCGGGAGGAAGACCAGUGGCGAAGGCGGGUCUCUGGACAGUUCCUGACGCUGAGGCACGAAGGUCAGGGGAGCAAACGGG